rnacentral:rRNA from 1 species
GACGAACGCUGGCGGCGUGCUUAACACAUGCAAGUCAAACGGUGAAGCAGAGCUUGCUCUGUGGAUCAGUGGCGAACGGGUGAGUAACACGUGAGUAACCUGCCCUUGACUCUGGGAUAAGCGUUGGCAACGACGUCUAAUACCGGAUAUGACCUUCGGACGCAUGUUCUGUUGGUGGAAAGGUUUUUUGGUCAAGGAUGGACUCGCGGCCUAUCAGCUUGGUGGUGAGGUAAGGGCUCACCAAGGCGACGACGGGUAGCCGGCCUGAGAGGGUGACCGGCCGCACUGGGACUGAGACACGGCCCAGACUCCUACGGGAGGCAGCAGUGGGGAAGAUUGCACAAUGGGCGCAAGCCUGAUGCAGCAACGCCGCGUGAGGGACGACGGCCUUCGGGUUGUAAACCUCUUUAGUAGGGAAGAAGCGAAAGUGACGGUACCUGCAGAAAAAGCACCGGCUAACUACGUGCCAGCCGCCGCAGUAA